rnacentral:rRNA from 1 species
UGACGAGUUUGAUCCUGGCUCAGAUUGAACGCUGGCGGCAUGCUUUACACAUGCAAGUCGAACGGUAACAGGUCUUCGGAUGCUGACGAGUGGCGAACGGGUGAGUAACACAUCGGAACGUGCCUAGUAGUGGGGGAUAACUACUCGAAAGAGUAGCUAAUACCGCAUGAGAUCUAAGGAUGAAAGCAGGGGACCUUCGGGCCUUGCGCUACUAGAGCGGCUGAUGGCAGAGUUAGGUAGUUGGUGGGGUAAAGGCUCACCAAGCCAACGAUCUGUAGCUGGUCUGAGAGGACGACCAGCCACACUGGAACUGAGACACGGUCCAGACUCCGUACGGGGAGGC